GCAAGAUUAAAACUCAAAGGAAUAGACGGGGACCCGCACAAGUGGUGGAGCAUGUGGUUUAAUUCGAAGAUACGCGAAGAACCUUACCUAGCCUUGACAUUGAUAGAACACAGUAGAGAUACAGUGGUGCCCUUCGGGGAACUUGAAAACAGGUGCUGCACGGCUGUCGUCAGCUCGUGUCGUGAGAUGUUGGGUUAAGUCCCGCAACGAGCGCAACCCUCGUCACUAGUUACUAACGAUUCGGUCGAGGACUCUAGUGAGACUGCCUUCGUAAGGAGGAGGAAGGUGAGGACGACGUCAAGUCAUCAUGGCCCUUACGGCUAGGGCUACACACGUGCUACAAUGGUUAGGACAGUGAGAAGCGAUACCGCGAGGUGGAGCAAAUCUAUAAACCUAAUCUCAGUUCGGAUUGUUCUCUGCAACUCGAGAACAUGAAGCUGGAAUCACUAGUAAUCGUAGAUCAGCAAUGCUACGGUGAAUACGUUCCCGGGUCUUGUACUCACCGCCCGUCACACCAUGGGAGUUGAUUUCACCCGAAGCGGGGAAGCUAAACUGGCUACCCUCCACGGUGGAAUUAGCGACUGGGGUGAAGUCGUAACAAGGUA
rnacentral:rRNA from 1 species